GCCAUUGCACUCCAGCCUGGGCAACAGAGCAAGACUCCGUCUCAAAAAUAAAUAAAUAAAUAAAUUAAUUAAUUAAAGAGUGCAGACUCUUAGGCCCCACCUUUGCUGUAUCUGCUGAGUCCGAAUGUGCAUUCUGUCCACAGUGAAGUUUAAGAAGCACUGAUCGAACGUGCUGUAUGUUUUAGUUUUCUAUCUAACGUCACCCACUUGGAAUGUAAGCUCCAGGUCAGCGAUUCUUGCCUAUUUUGUUGACUGCUUCCAUCCACAGGUGACUAGAAAGCUGCCUGGCUUUCAAUAUAUUUGUUGGAUUAAUCUAUUGACAUCAGGUGCCCAGGUUCUAGCUCUGAGCCCAGGGGAGAUUAAUACUGUGUCUUUCCUACAGAGAAAUCACAGAGUUGCAAAUCCUCCCUGCUCAGCUUCAUCAGCACUUAAUACCAUUUGCUCGAGCUCCUGGGUGAGAGCUACAAAACUAGUCCCUGAGCCCAGUGGGAGGAUCCACUAGUCCACACCCUCGACCUCUGUCAGCCUCUUCAGCCCCUUCUCGCUUGAGGAGAAUGUGAUCGUUGUUACAGGCAUCAGAAAAAGGCAAGUUGGGGGGCCUCCUUGCUGUUCGCCAAACCCAGUCCUACCUGGGCCUUUGCUGUAGCUGAUGUUUGUGCUGGGGAUGCCCCGUGACCAACUCCCUUCACCUGCUUCAAGUCCUUUGCUCAUACGAAGGCAUACAAGUACCAACUAGGUGUCUCUUUCUCCAAGGAGCUCCACAAAAUAUUCCAUCCAGAGUGCAGAUGAUGGUAGGUAGUCUUUAAUUUACACAGGUGUCUUCCCAGUAGGUUUACGGGAGAAUCAAGAGAAUGAAAGAACACAUGUUCCUCAGUCAGAGGGCCUAUCUGUAUGGGAACUGCCAGCGAAAAGUAACAAGUAGAAAGUUUACCCGGAAAAUCAACAACCUGCAUUGAUCUAUCACCAGAUGAAAAUUGGGAAAUUUCAGAGGAACUUGAAGCAUAAGUAGCACCAAAGGGCCGGGGGCAGUGGCUCACGCCUAUAAUCCCAACACUUGGGGAGGUGGAG
rnacentral:lncRNA from 1 species